rnacentral:rRNA from 1 species
UGACGACCGGCGCACGGGUGCGUAACGCGUAUACAAUCUACCUUAUACUGGGGAAUAGGCCAAAGAAAUUUGGAUUAAUGCCCCAUAGUAUUUUUCUAACACAUGUUAGAAUUCUUAAAGCUCUGGCGGUAUAAGAUGAGUAUGCGUGAUAUUAGCUAGUUGGUGAGGUAACUGCUCACCAAGGCAACGAUAUCUAGGGGGUCUGAGAGGACUAUCCCCCACACUGGUACUGAGACACGGACCAGACUCUUACGGGAGGCAGCAGUGAGGAAUAUUGGGCAAUGGAGGCAACUCUGACCCAGCCAUGCCGCGUGAAGGAAGAGGGUCUUAUGGAUUGUAAACUUCUUUUAUUUGGGAAGAAACCUUUCUACGUGUAGAAAGCUGACGGUACCAAACGAAUAAGGACCGGCUAACUCCGUGCCAGCAG